GGUUGCUGUUUAUUGGCAAUACCACCACAUGAAGCUAAGCAGGGUUGGGACCAUUAGUGCUCGGAUGGGAGACUACCUGGGAAUACCAGGGGCAGCAGGCU
rnacentral:rRNA from 1 species